CUCAAAUACAUAUCUCCCUCCUACAUACUCUUCCACAAAUAUUCUGCUACAUCUCAUGGGAGGAAUUGCAGCAUUUCUUCCGGAAGCCUCAAGCUGUGGCUCUCUGCAGAAGCCAAGGCAGAAAUAUCCAUUUGAGCUGUGACAGAGGGUGGGGUCAGGAGACAGAGGUUUUUACAUGAAAUUAAAGGGCAGAGCAAGGAGAAGAAUUGAAGGCAAAGAUGACUGAACUUCUGAUUAGGUUUCUUUACCUUGAAACUUCAGCUUCUACAGGUCCAUGAGGGCAGGGACUUCAUCCCUUUUGUUCACAACUGUACAUCCAGAUCUCAGAAUGGACUUUGAGGAGGAAGAAAACAUGCAGCAGAGAGGUAAGGAAUAGAACAUAUAUAAAAGCGUAAAUUUUUUGUUAAUUGUUUUAUAACCACAACCCAUUAGUACAGAGAAUGUCUUGUAUAAAACAACACAAAAAAAGGUUUAAAAAUGUUGCCUUAGGCAAGACUGAAGAUUGAAGUCUCAUAUUUGGAAUUUCUGCUGCAGUCCUUGUUUCUGGAUGGAUCAUUGGGUCUGUGGCACAGUCCAUGCUUUUAACCAGAUUUGAACAGAAGCGUGGCCACUUGGCCCAGGUAGAAGUAGGUGCAGUAUUUGGUUUAAUGUGUCAUGUA
rnacentral:lncRNA from 1 species